rnacentral:tRNA from 1 species
GCAUUGGUGGUUCAGUGAUAGAAUUCUCACCUGCUGUAUGGGAGUCCCAGGUUCAAUUCCUGGCCAAUGCA